GUGAGGAAUAUUGCGCAAUGGAGGCAACUCUGACGCAGCCAUGCCGCGUGCAGGAAGAAGGCGCUACGCGUUGUAAACUGCUUUUAACCGGGAAGAAACCCCAGGACGUGUCCUGGGUUGACGGUACCGGAGGAAUAAGCACCGGCUAACUUCGUGCCAGCAGCCGCGGUAAUACGAAGGGUGCAAGCGUUAUCCGGAUUCAUUGGGAUUAAAGGGUGCGUAGGCGGAGCGUUAAGUCAGUGGUGAAAUCCUGCAGGUUAACUGUAGACUUGCCAUUGAUACUGGCGCUCUUGAGUGCGCUUGAAGUGGGCGGAAUGUGCCGUGUAGCGGUGAAAUGCUUAGAUAUGGCACAGAACACCAAUUGCGAAGGCAGCUCACUAAGGCGAUACUGACGCUGAGGCACGAAAGCGUGGGGAUCGAACAGGAUUAGAAACCCUGGUAGUCC
rnacentral:rRNA from 1 species